UAAAGGAUGCACCAGCAGAUGGGGGGAGGGGGGAGGCAUUAGAAGGAUGCAAAGGAGAGAUGGCUUUAGCAGCGACAUUUCAUGGGUUUGUGUGUCUGGCCCCUCAGAGAGGAGGGUAUUGCAGUGGAAUACUUGUGUGGAAGCGGGAGGAGGGAUAGCAUGGGAGAUGUUGAGGGUUUGGGGCAGGAGCCAGCAGCUUAAGGUUAAGAAAAUGAAGAUUCCAUUAAACAUCAUGGAAACGAGUGCAGUUUUGUAUUUGUAAAGUAUUUCCAGUGGCUUCUUCACAGACUGGGCUGAUCCCAGUCCUGGCUCUGAACACACCUGCAAUGGGGACUUUGACUCCAGUGCACAGACUCAAUCCCUCACAUGUAACAGGACCUGAAUUUUCUCAGGGCAUUUGCCUGUACAGCACUGCAGCCAGUAUUGCUGUAACACUUCAGUGAAAAUGCUGCCGAGGGAAGGGCUCCCAGCGGUGUAGUUAAUCCAGCUCCCCAGGGAGGUGGUACCUGCAUAGAGAGAAGCUCUCCUGUUGACAGCUGUCUACAGAUGGGGUGAGGUUGGGAGAACUACAUAGCUCAGGGGUGUGAAUUUUUUACAUCUGAGCGACGUACUUCUACCAAUACAGGCCUGUAAUGUAGACCAGCCCUAAGUCAGAUCUCUGCAUAAAGUGGGGGGAGGGAGAAAGACAUCUCAGACUCUGAAUUAGAAUUUACCAUUUAGCAGAUUGCUGGGGCUCAGUUCUGCCCCCCUUUGCUGAGACUGAGAACUGACUUCCUUGGGGCGGAUGAGGUGGUUUGAUAAAGGAAUCUAGGUAUGUGCAAUAGCAAUAUAAUCACCAAGACAGCUUAUUGGAAAAGAAUAUGCAAGUUGUGCUCAAUGCACCCAGCUACUUAAAGCACGGAUUCAGCUGGUGGGAUGGCAGAUGGCCUUUGUCACUCCUGCUAGCUCAGGCAUCCUGCAGCAGUUGUGUUCUUUCCCCUUCGGUACGUAACUUUUUUUUUUAUCUCCAGGACUCAAGGAAAUUUUUGCUUGAAGGCUUCAGACUGUCUCAUUCCUAUGACCGCCUUGUCCUAACAAGGCGACCAGGAUCCCCUACACUGCUCCAAAGGAGGGACGCAUGGGUGGACAGCUGCAGUUCUUCAUUUCUGCCUCCAUGGCACUGACAUGGAAAAUGUCACAAGGGGAUUUGUUUUGAAAGACUGAUGCGAAAACAGGAUUCUUAUGGAAACUAUUCUCUCAGCCUUAUCGUUAGAUAACAGGCCUUCGCUGAAAUCCACACAGGAGCUAGUCCACCCUCUGGAAGCUGCAAAAGACACAAGAGUCUUCUCAUCAGAACUCGCUCGUAAUAUGAACCAUAGCCUAGACACCCUUUAAUGCCUCAAUUUCUGCAGCACUCCAAUAUUACAGGCCAGUUACUGUGAGAGCUGCAGGUAAGUUUUUUAAACUGAGCAUUUUUAAAAUGAGUUAAAUAAAAGUGAUUCACAAUAUCAGGGUCUUACCCCUUGUGGUAUUUAUGCUGAUAUUAAAUUCAAUUUGUUUGCCUCUACCGUGGUGUCUCAGAUUUUUUUGUACAGACAAUGACAUUGUAGAUGUUAUCAAGUGGGAGCAGGAAGCUUUCGCAACUGGCUAAUGGACAGUUAGGGGUUUUGGGCCCCAGGAAGGCUGUUUGGGACUGUGGGCAAGAACAUUACCUGGAUGUUUCUUUUGAAAAGGAACAGCAGUAAAAUAAUUAGCUAUGUUAUUUAAAGUAUCAUUAUUCUACCUUUAAGCCAUUGAGAUAAUGGAGUAUCUAAGGGUGCAUCUUCGCUUGGAAAAGUGGUGUUGACUCAUAUUAAAACUAUAACCUGCCUUGUCUUCACUAGGAUUUAACCAAGUUAUUUACCAUGUGUUAGUUAACACAAGUUCAGAACACACCUUUAGAGAAGACCUAAGAGCUACUGUUUGAGCUGCCUGAGGACUCAGGUAGAUGCUACUGCUUCAGUUUAUAUUUGCAAGGUCAUCUCCACAAUGAUGAAGGCUCAGAAACCAAAGAAAUUGUUUACUUUCCAUGAAAGCUUAGAUAUGGAAGCAGAAGUCUGUAGUACAGCUGGUGAGAAGUUCUCAAUCUAAACUGUUUUUCUGUUCUAUGGGCCAGGCUCCUCAGUCAGACUACAUCCUGCAGAAUGCACCAUGGCCAGGGACUCUCAUGUUUCAAGAGAGGAGGCCACAGCACAUGAUGGGAAAUUCCAUCUCACCUAUAGAGAAGAACAAGACCACAGCAGCACUUCCAAAUCAAAAAAAUCUUGACCGAAUACCAAAACAUUUCAAUAUUCACAUUUCUGCCUAAACGCUGACAUUUGCCACAGGAAAAGAAUUUUUUUGUUGACUAGCUCUAGUCUGCAGCAAGUUCCAUGGCUAUAGUGUUGUAGAUUACAGAAGGACAGAGUCUAAAUGAAUUGCCUGGACCAACUGCUAAACAUGACCUUGGGCAAGUAACUUCCCCUUCCCGUGCCUCAGUUUCUCCAUCUGCAAAAUGGGGAUAAUGAUCCAGAGCACCUCUGUAAAGCAUUUGGAGAGUUACAAAUAAAGAAUGCAGAGUAAGAGCUAGUUAUUAUUAAAAUACAUUUUGGUUUUAGUCAACCACUUUUAAGCUUUAGAAGCCCCCAAAAUCAUUUGGCCCAGAUUCUCAGCCCUGCUUCUGCCCCUUUGCACUGCUCAGGCAGGGCAAAGCAGCCUAAAAGCUGCUCUACAGGGCAUUUCAAAGGACUCUAUGGCACAGGGCAAUCUCUGGGUGGCAUAAAGUAAGCAUAUCUGGCUCUAUGCUACCCACUACCCUUCCCCUGGUGUACGGAGAGUGACACUGAGUGGGAGGAAGCAGGGCUGGGUACAAUGUAUUCUUACCGAUCAUCACAGAGACAACCACCCCUCCCCAGGGAGUCAGUGGGAGUUUUGCUCCAUUUAGACUGCAAGAUUUGGCUGUAGGUCAAUAACAGACUGAUGAAGCAUCUGUCCCCUCCACCCAAGAAAGAUACUACACAGAAUUUGUUUGUUUCACACGCACACAGGUAUGAGAAGCUGAAAGCUGACUAUUUCCCCUUAGAGUCUGGUAGAUUACAAGAUUUCAACAUCUUUAAAAAAGGAGAAACACAUUUUAUAUUAUUAAGCUUGAAUUCAGCGCUGUAUUUUUGUCAUUUGCAUUUUCUUUAAUGCAUCAAUAUGAGUUGUUCUCAGUCUUACAAUAGCAACACAGAUGCUCUCAAUUGCCUUGUAAACAGUAAUGUUUGAAAAAGAAGGGCACAACUGAAUUUAAUCAGAAAAACAGGUGUCCACUUGAAGCAAAAUUUAAGUUUGUACUAAUCUAAUUAUUUACUCUCUAGGCAGACGGCCCACCCUACUGAUUACUGGUAUUUCUGCUAGCUUUUUUAAGCUUGCUGCAUAUUUCAAAUCCUACUACAGCAAUCCACUCUCCAAUUAUAUUGGAGAGCUCUCCCAGCGCUGCAUGUAAACCACAUCCCUUACG